rnacentral:rRNA from 1 species
UACAGAGGUGGCAAGCGUUGUUCGGAAUUACUGGGCGUAAAGGGCGCGUAGGCGGCCUUCUAAGUCAGACGUGAAAUCCCUCGGCUUAACCGGGGAACUGCGUCUGAUACUGGAUGGCUUGAGUUUGGGAGAGGGAUGCGGAAUUCCAGGUGUAGCGGUGAAAUGCGUAGAUAUCUGGAGGAACACCGGUGGCGAAGGCGGCAUCCUGGACCAACACUGACGCUGAGGAGCGAAAGCCAGGGGAGCAAACGGG